rnacentral:rRNA from 1 species
AGUAAUGCGUGACCAGCCUGCCCCAUGCUCCAGAAUAGCUCUUGGAAACGGGUGGUAAUGCUGGAUGCUCCAACUUGACGCAUGUCUUGUUGGGAAAGUGUUUAGUGGCAUGGGAUGGGGUCGCGUCCUAUCAGCUUGUAGGCGGGGUAAUGGCCCACCUAGGCUUCGACGGGUAGCCGGCCUGAGAGGGCGGACGGCCACAUUGGGACUGAGAUACGGCCCAGACUCCUACGGGAGGCAGCAGC